GCUUAGAGAGGGGUCAAUGUCCUAUCAGCUAGUUGGUAGGGUAAUGGCCUACCAAGGCGAAGACGGGUAGCCGGCCUGAGAGGGUGGUCGGCCACACUGGGACUGAGACACUGCCCAGACUCCUACGGGAGGCUGCAGUCGAGAAUCUUUCGCAAUGCCCGAAAGGGUGACGAAGCGACGCCGCGUGUGGGAAGAAGGCCUUCGGGCUGUAAACCACCGUCGGGAGUUAAGAAAUGUAAGGGUGCUAAUAGUAUCCUUACUUGACUAAGGCUCCGGAGGAAGCCACGGCUAACUCUGUGCCAGCAGCCGCGGUAAUACAGAGGCGGCAAGCGUUGUUCGGAAUUAUUGGGCGUAAAGAGCACGUAGGCGGCCUUGUAAGUCAGUUGUGAAAGCCUUCUGCUUAACGGAAGAACAGCAUCUGAUACUGCAAGGCUAGAGCGCGGAAGGG
rnacentral:rRNA from 1 species